UCUCCACAGCACCUUUGUGAACUC
rnacentral:piRNA from 1 species